rnacentral:lncRNA from 1 species
CACCACGGUGGGGCAACUCUGCACCGCUCAGGUGCUGCGACAGGUAGGGCGAGGGCUGGUGUGGUAGGUGGGGGUGGUGGCAGUGUGUAGGCCAUGCACGGUGGGGCGGUGCCAUGCCGGGAUGGGACGGCGGCCGGCGCAUGUGCGGUGGUGCUGCGGUAGGCCGGGGCGGUGGCAUCGUGCGGCAAGGAGCACUCGCGGGCAGUGAAUCAUGCGGGGAGAGAGAGGGUGAAAUCCCUUUUCUAAAGGGGAGUGGGAGGUAUUUUUUUCUCAAUUGAGGGAAAAUACAAGGAAAGAGGAUUGUUUUCUCAAUCUGUUGGAGAGGUGUUUUUGCCCCUCAAUCUCUUUUAACCUGGAAUAUAGGAAAAUGGGAUUGGUUUUCUCAAUCUGUUGGAGUUGCUCUUAGUUAGUCUAAGGCUUAUGACCUUAUUCCAGUGGAUUGAAAAUCUUGGGGAAUACUUUUAGAAAAAAGUUACAACUGAUCCGUGCGCUUGUAGUUCACAAACUGGCAUGCUAACUGCUGCUACCAGAGUAUUGCCCAGUGCCGAACAUUCAGACCGAGGUGACAAGCCACGCAUUGACUAAGUGUGGCAUUGUCUAGCACCCCGAUGGGUAGCCACCCGUUCAAAUCUCACCGCCUCUAGGGACACCAUGGCAAGAUGAAACGUCAUAGGGCACUCUCAUGGAGGCAGGGGAGAGGGGAGUAUAUAAGGAACAUACAAGGAAUGAUUUAGGGACUUUAUGAGCAGAAAAAUAGGGCUGGAAUAUUGUAUUCAUCUUCCAAAGAGAGCAAGCAAGCAAACGACAAUCUCAUACAGGACAUAUUGUUUUACGCUUCCAAGCAUUAUGAACCUAUCUAAAUCAAUGUCUCAUAUAUUGUUCAUGCAUUGUAAGUGACCUUCUCCAUGCGUACUUCCCCAUGGUGAAUCUCAAAAAGUGGAUUCCGUCGAAUCCCUACUCUCGGUGAAUGUCCAUGUCACAUGGCUACGUCAAGAACUUUUUUUUUUCCGAACUUAAUCGUCAACUGUUGAAACGUCAAAAUGGCACCACGAUGACAAAUGAAUACCAGCACUAC